rnacentral:snRNA from 1 species
AGCUUUGUACAGUGGCAGUAUCAUAGUUAAUGAGGUUUAUCUGAGGCGUAAUUAUUGCUAAUUAAAAUUUCCACGAACCAAAUUGGCCAAACCUAGAAUAUUUUGUGUAGGGGAAGCUCC